GUUCCCAGCCUCGCGGCCUGGGGGGCCCCCCACCCAGCGGAGUCGCUGACCCCACUCCUCUCCCGCUGCCCCCAGCUGCGCUCGGGCCGCUGCAGCCUCUGCGCACCCCCACCCGCUUCCUGCCCCGUCCGCGAGGCCGCCCUGGAUCGCACCCGGUUCCUUCCUUCCUUCGUUCUUUCAGGCAACUCGCAUUCCUCGAGCGCCUGCGACGUGCCCUGCACAGGGCCUUCCCGGCCUUCCGAGUGUGGCCCCAGGCCCGCUGGGCUCCUCCGGGAAGCCUCUGCCCUCUCGAAGUCCUUCCCCACCUCCGCCCCUCUGUUCCAUGAGGUGCUUCGCUGAGAGUCGAGCAAUUUAAUUGUUCUCUGAUUAGUUCUCCUCUUAGGGGUCAGUCAGUGGCAAGGUCACGGAGUCUCUUUGUGGCUGAGAUCGGGGGUCAGAGCGUGGCCGGAUUUGGGGUUUCGCCAGCCUGGGGCAGGCUUUAGGGAUAAAUGUGGGUAGUCAGGCUGUGGGGGUCCGUCUGUGGGCAGUGUCAAAAGCCAAGCUGUUUUGAAACUUCAUGCAAACCGGUGGGUGCUGCAGAAUUGGCCUCUUCCAGCCACAGCAGUAAUCCUGUUACGUUCUCUCUGUGAGUCUGGGAAACAUACAGACACUGGUUGAAACUUCAGCUUUGUCAUUUACCAGCUGUGCUAUCACAGGUAAGUUUUUUGUUUUCUUUUUGUUUUUUUGAGACAGGGUCUCAAUCUGUUACCCAUGCAGGACUGCAGUGACAUGAUCGCUGCUCUUACUGCAGCCCUGACCUCCCGGGCUCGAGUGAUCCUUCCACCUCAGCCUUCUAAGUAAUUGGGACUACAGGUGUGCGCCAGCAUGCCUGGCUAAUUUUUUUUUUUUGUAUGUUGCUUAGGCUGGUCUGAAACUCCUGGGCUCAAGCAGUUCUCCCACAUUGGCUUCCCAAAGUGCUGGGAUUACAGGUCUGAACCACCGAACCGGGCCACAGAGUGGCAAUGUGGUUGGCAUGACCCAGUCACAGCACCCCGGGACUCUUGUCCAGCAUUGGCGCUCUAUAUGCAGAGCCCUUUCACUCAGCCUGGCAGCAUCUGAUCAGCGUCGAAGCCCAGUGGCUUGAGGAAUAAAUAUAAACAGUGCAGAGACUAAAAGCAGAGCUCUGGUCCAGCACAUCUACUCCCAAGCUCUGCCACCCUGGACAAGCUCCUUCCCCUCUCUGAGCCUCAGUCUCCUCCCUGUAAUACUGUAAGAACCCUGUCCACAGUUGUGUGCCGAUAUACUGAAUGUAAAGCACCUAAAAGCCUGCCAGGACGUGGCAGGCACUCAAGAAGCAUUACUAGAUUCAUUUCACACAUGGAGAAACUGAGUCCCAGAGUGGGAAAGUGACUCAGGCAAAGAUUCCCUCACAGAACUGGGGAUAAAAAUCCAGAUCUUCAAGCUCCCAGUCAGUGCCUAAUUACUACUUUCUCAUUCUUGGAAUUUGUAAUUAUUUCAUGACAAGUGUGCUUUUGGCUGCUGGAGGGACAGAGCUUCAGAGGUUGUGAGCCUCCCCUGGCUCAGCCUGACCCAGAACCAGCUCACUCAUGAAACUACCCUCUCUUGAAGAGAAUAGGAGUUGUGGGGAGGAAGAACAUAACCCAGAGGCCAGAGAACGUGGAGGCCAGGGUUGGUGUAACUGUGUAGGCUCUUCCACAUACUAGCUGUGUGAACUUGGACAAGUGACUUAACUUCUCUUCUCCGUGUCUGCUAACAGUCCCUACACAGAUGGUUGUUGUGAGGCUUAGUUACCAUACAAAAUUCUUAGAUUAGUGCCUGGCACAUAAUAAUAACCACAGCCCCCAAAUGCUAGUUGUCAUUCAUUAUCUUAACAUACCAUGUGAAGGUUGUGUUCUCUUACAUUCUAUAGCCCUCUGUGUUUUAAUAUAAAAUUGUGAUGUCUCUCUUUCUUUUAUUUGUAUUUUUUGAGUAAAACGGACAUUUCAGAAAGAUGUACCAGAUUUUUAUCACAUGGCUUUGUGAGACCCGACAGCCAGCCAACAUCACACACAGUCACAUGUGUGCAUGCAUGAGCACACAUGCAUGCAGACACACACACUUUGAGAAGGCCAUGCUACGCCGGGCUGCUUCCCAAAUGGGCUGAAACAAGUCCUCUUGCCCUGAAGAACCGCCUGUCCCCUCUCCCGCCCACUCAUCGCGCUCCGUGGAGUGAGGCAGGAAAGGGUGAUUGGCUCACAGCAGCAGCAUAGCUCUUAGUAAACCUGACUUGGGAGAAAGGCCUGGCUCCAGCUCCUAGCCCAAGUGUCAGAGCCUGGGUCCCAGCACUGGCUCGAUGCCCUCUUUUGCUGUGCAACCCUGGCCAUGUAACUUCACCUCUCUGAGCCCCAGCUUUGUCAUUUGUGAAAGGGAGCUAACUGUUCCUACCUCUCAGGGUUAUGAGGAUUUGACAGACACAUGGAAAGUGCCUGGCACUUCGUUGUUGCUCCAUAAAUGAGAGCUCUCAAAAGUCUGGCUCAUUUUUUAGCUCAGUAAAAGCUAUCUUUCAUAGUCUUUAAUAAAAUGGGGCUGGCCGGGCGUGGUGGCUCACGCCUGUAAUCCCAGCACUUUGGGAGGCUGAGGUGGGUGGAUCACGAGGUCAGGAGAUCGAGACCAUCCUGGAUAACAUGGUGAAACCCCAUCUCUACUAAAAAAAAUACAAAAAAAUUAGCCGGGUGUGGUGGCAGGCGCCUGUAGUCCCAGCUACUCAGGAAGCUGAAGCAGGAGAAUGGCGUGAGCCCAGGAGGCG
rnacentral:lncRNA from 1 species